rfam:Hordeum vulgare subsp. vulgare, WGS project CAJW01000000 data, contig: morex_contig_275148
GAUGUACUCCCUCCUUCCCGAAUUACUUGUCCCAAAAAUGGAUACAAAUGGAUGUGUCUAGAACUAAAGUAUGUCUAGAUACAUCCAUUUCUGCGACAAGUAAUUCCGGUUGGAGGGAGUAUUAC